rnacentral:RNase_P_RNA from 1 species
GAAAGCAGGCGAGGUGGUCGCGAUCGAGCCGUCGGCCCAAGGGUUGACGGGCUCGGUUGAGGAAAGUCCGGGCUCCCCGAUGGCCAGGCUUGCUGGGUAACGCCCAGUGCGGGUGACCGUGAGGAGAGUGCCACAGAAACACACCGCCGAUGGCCCCAUGGGGUUCCGCCCCGGGCACAGGCAAGGGUGCAAAGGUGCGGUAAGAGCGCACCAGCAGCAUCGAGAGGUGCUGGCUCGGUAAACCCCGGCCGGGAGCAAGGCCCAGGAACGACGGUUGGCCAUCUGCCCCGUUCCGCCAACAGCGUGCCGCUCGAGGUCGUCGGCAACGGCGAUCCCAGAUAGAUGACCGCCCCCCUCCUUCGGGAGGGAGAACAGAACCCGGCUUAUGUCCUGCUUUCACCC